ACGCCCAUUCAUCAAACGAGUCGAGAUGAGAGGAAUCAUUGUAUAAAAGGCUAGCAUGUAAAAGCUGGAAGAAGGAAAGAACACGGGAUAUGUAAUGGAACAUGGGAAAUUGAUAUGGACAUUGAUAUGGACCUUGAUAUGGACAUUGAUAUGAACAUGAAUAUGGUAUAGAGAACUACAUCGACACAGAAAAGAAAACAAAAGUUGCUAAAAUGACAAAGGUGCCGAAUCAACAGGCCAUAGUACCGAUGGAAUCCAAAUACAAUCCAAGAAUCAUUCAA
rnacentral:lncRNA from 1 species